rnacentral:rRNA from 1 species
UACGGAGGGUGCAAGCGUUGUCCGGAAUCACUGGGCGUAAAGGGCGUGUAGGCGGGUGAUCAAGUCAGAUGUAAAAGGCGACGGCUCAACCGUAGUAUGUCAUCUGAUACUGGUCAUCUUGAGUUCGAGAGAGGGUGGUGGAAUUCCCGGUGUAGCGGUGAAAUGCGUAGAUAUCGGGAAGAACACCUGAAGCGAAGGCGGCCACCUGGCUCGAAACUGACGCUGAGGCGCGAAAGCGUGGGGAGCAAACAGG